GAUGAACGCUGGCGGCGUGCCUAAUACAUGCAAGUCGAGCGAACAGACGAGGAGCUUGCUCCUCUGACGUUAGCGGCGGACGGGUGAGUAACACGUGGAUAACCUACCUAUAAGACUGGGAUAACUUCGGGAAACCGGAGCUAAUACCGGAUAAUAUAUUGAACCGCAUGGUUCAAUAGUGAAAGACGGUUUUGCUGUCACUUAUAGAUGGAUCCGCGCCGCAUUAGCUAGUUGGUAAGGUAACGGCUUACCAAGGCGACGAUGCGUAGCCGACCUGAGAGGGUGAUCGGCCACACUGGAACUGAGCCACGGUCCAGACUCCUACGGGAGGCAGCAGUAGGGAAUCUUCCGCAAUGGGCGAAAGCCUGACGGAGCAACGCCGCGUGAGUGAUGAAGGUCUUCGGAGCGUAAAACUCUGUUAUUAGGGAAGAACAAAUGUGUAAGUAACUAUGCACGUCUUGACGGUACCUAAUCAGAAAGCCACGGCUAACUACGUG
rnacentral:rRNA from 1 species